UGUCAGACACAUGUCUUGCUUGGCAAACAAGAAGUCUAAAUCAUGUUCAAAGAUUUAUCAUUCGAUCUUGUUUAUUUGUUAUUGAUUUCCCAUUUCGGAGCAGUGUAAUUGCGGAGCUUCCAGUGCAGCAAUGGAUUUUAUCACGAGCAGGUUUUUCUCAAAUGGGAUGUAACAGAUUUAUGUAACUGCGGAUUGUUCUGCAAGACGUGGCAUUCGAUCAUCAUGAAAGGAAGUAGAAAAAGAAACUUAAUCCUCUAGAUAAUAACGAGAAAUCAAGCCUCUAAGAACUUUUGUAAUUAAGAAAAUAAGGUGAUGUGAAUUUGUUUGUUAAUCAUUUUAUAAGUCCUCUUGACGUCUCAUAUUCUGGAUCCUCAUAUUCUCAUCCCAUGUCUUGCCGUCUCUCUCUAAGUAAAUGGCAUUUUGGUGUGUGUCAUUGGAUGAUAAUGUACUAAACAGGCAACAUUUUGUGAUUUGAUGGUUGCAAAGGAGCAAUUUCUAAUCCCCUUGUUCUGUGUCACACUGUCACAUCCCCAUCGUUACCUGCCUCCUCAAAAUAAUGGAUCCACCAUUAAAAUUUGAUUUUACCGCUCUUCUUUCUUUCUCGUGAGAUCGAAGCAGCUACGAGGGUCAACCGCUAAACCACCACCGCUAUUGAACUUGGAUGGACGGUGAGAGCCUCAUCCAAAGA